rnacentral:rRNA from 1 species
CAACAGCGUAUACUAAAGCUGCUGCGGUUAAAAAGCUCGUCGUUGGGUAUCAGCCGAGGACGACCGGUCCGCCCUCUGGGUGAGUAUCCGGCUCGGCUUGGGCAUUUUCUUGGACAACGUAGCUGCAGCAGGGGAUAAUAAGAUAGGACAUCGCUUCUAUCUUGUUAGCUUCUAGAGCUGAGGAAUGAUUAAUAUGGCUAGUUUGGGGCGUUCGUAUUUAACUGUCAGAGGUGAAAUUCUUGGAUUUGUUAAAGACGGCGUACGGCGAAAGCAUCUGCCAAGGGUGUUCUCAUUGA